UGAGGAAUAUUGGUCAAUGGGCGGGAGCCUGAACCAGCCAAGUCGCGUGAGGGAAGACCGGUCCUAUGGAUUGUAAACCUCUUUUGUCGGGGAGCAAGAAAGGGUAUGCAUACCCUACUGAGAGUACCCGAAGAAAAGCAUCGGCUAACUCCGUGCC
rnacentral:rRNA from 1 species